AUGAGAAGGAGAGUUAGAUCUUUUAUUUCUCCUAUUCCAGCUAAAAGGCAGUAUCAGGAUGUUCCAGGUCAGCGAACAGGAUCAGCUUAUCACUCCCCACUAUCUCAAUCCCACUCUGAUUCGAAACUUGCAACCAACAAUGGUUCUGGCAGUACUGAUACUCAAACAAAAUUGUCAUCUCCUAAAACACAACAUUCUAUACACAGUGCUAAUUCACCUCCUCAAUCCAAAGCAAAGUUUAUUUCCCCAAGAAAGGGUCAUGGUUUAAAACUUGAGGCAAUUGUGCGAAAAAUUACUCCCAGUGUAAAAAAAAAUGAAUUCAACAAUGGUCAAGUGGCAUCGGACUUUUCAGAAGUAUCUCAUUACGCCUCUGACAUACCAGACCCUGAGGGUGGUACAUCAUUUUCUAGUGUUUCUCAAGGAGAGGAGACCUGCUUAUCUUACCUUGAUGAUUCUCCUACUUUAGAUGAUCUUAUGCCAUACAGAACAGUUGAAGAUGCAUUCUCCUGUGAUUCUCAGACCCUCAAACCAGGUACAACAGCUUCUAGCACUAGUGCCCUCAGGAGUUUGCCAAAAGAUUUUGACUUUGUUUUAGGUGCUGCUGGAUCUUCAGGAUCAUUGGGUGAAAGUGAUAAGGAUGAUUUUACUUUGUUAGGACCCCUUCCACCAGCUCCUCCAUUACCUUGUCCUGUACAGGGAUCCCCUCCUCCAUCUUCUUCUGCAUUGUCUGACAUACAGCAGUUCACAAACACUUAUCAACAGCUGGAAACCCGUCGAGGUGAGCAGUCGGCUGCUAACUUGCUGAGGCAGAAACUAGAAGAGACUGGCAUGGGCUUUGAUGAUUACCCAGGUGGGGAUUACUAUGGGACCACCACUGGCCACAGUCAGAGCCCUGGGCACCACCUUCUGUCCCGAGCUUCUCAGCACCAGAUGACUUCUCUCAGGUCAACCAGUUCAGAUACUAAAACAUCAGAAAAAACUGUCCCCAAAGGUUAUUUUCCAUCAGGUAAGAAAAAAGGUCGCCCAGUGGGCAGUGUGAAUAAGCAGAAACGUGCCCAAGCACAAAUUCAGAAUACAGCAGCAAGCAUACCUGUGGACUCUGUUCCCUCACCCACAGCUGAACCUCAGUCUGUCCCAAUCCCAGACACUGCAAGUGAAGUGCCCCAAGUAUCAACACCACCGGACCAAAAACCCUGUCCAUCUUUGUCACCUCCUGCUCAAACCCAGGUGGUGAAAGUGGAUGUAGAGAGCGAGGAGACCCAGCCGGAGUUAGAUGUGAAGCCUGUCAGACAUAGACCGAAAAAGGGGAAAGAGGGCAAUGAGACUCCUGCCGAUCAGAGAAAGAGAAGAAGAGGGAUGACUUCCAAGAGAAGCUGGACACCCAAGCAAGCAGCAGGGGAAAUAUCAGCCCAUGUGGAAUAUUAUCAGAUGCCAGGAGUAACUUAUUUACUCCUUACAUACAUGUGGAGAAAAAGAUAG
rnacentral:lncRNA from 1 species